UGGGGAAUUUUGGACAAUGGGCGAAAGCCUGAUCCAGCAAUGCCGCGUGUGUGAAGAAGGCCUUCGGGUUGUAAAGCACUUUUGUCCGGAAAGAAAUCCUUGGCUCUAAUACAGUCGGGGGAUGACGGUACCGGAAGAAUAAGCACCGGCUAACUACGUGCCAGCAGCCGCGGUAAUACGUAGGGUGCAAGCGUUAAUCGGAAUUACUGGGCGUAAAGCGUGCGCAGGCGGUUUGCUAAGACCGAUGUGAAAUCCCCGGGCUCAACUGGGAACUGCAUUGGUGACUGGCAGGCUAGAGUAUGGCAGAGGGGGUAGAAUUCCACGUGUAGCAGUGAAAUGCGUAGAGAUGUGGAGGAAUACCGAUGGCGAAGGCAGCCCCUGGGCCAAUACUGACGCUCAUGCACGAAAGCGUGGGGAGCAAACAGGAUUAGAUACCCUGGUAGUCCACGCCCUAAACGAUGUCAACUAGUUGUUGGGGAUUCAUUUCCUUAGUAACGUAGCUAACGCGUGAAGUUGACCGCCUGGGGAGUACGGUCGCAAGAUUAAAACUUAAAUGAAUUGACGGGGUCAUAGCUGUUUCCU
rnacentral:rRNA from 1 species